rnacentral:rRNA from 1 species
UACGGAGGAUGCGAGCGUUAUCCGGAUUUAUUGGGUUUAAAGGGUGCGUAGGCGGGCUGUUAAGUCAGCGGUAAAAGCCCGGGGCUCAACCCCGUCGUGCCGUUGAAACUGACACCCUUGAGUGAGUGAGAAGUAAGCGGAAUGCGUGGUGUAGCGGUGAAAUGCAUAGAUAUCACGCAGAACGCCGAUUGCGAAGGCAGCUUACCGGCGCUCAACUGACGCUGAGGCACGAAAGCGUGGGGAGCAAAUAGG